AAAAAAGCAAGGACCUAUUGCCUUUUGUGAAUGGGUCUCUCAUAAACUUCAGGGAAAUUAGUUGCACUGUUAUUGGGUGAACCGCAUGAGUAUUGUCUGUGAUUGAAGGUUCAGUAAAUAAUGGUACAUUA
rfam:Vitis vinifera, whole genome shotgun sequence of line PN40024, unoriented chromosome 14, chr14